rnacentral:rRNA from 1 species
UACGUAGGGUGCAGGCGUUAAUCGGAAUUACUGGGCGUAAAGCGUGCGCAGGCGGUUUCUUAAGUCAGAUGUGAAAGCCCCGGGCUCAACCUGGGAACUGCAUUUGAAACUGGCGGGCUUGAGUAUGGCAGAGGGGGGUGGAAUUCCGCGUGUAGCAGUGAAAUGCGUAGAUAUGCGGAGGAACACCGAUGGCGAAGGCAAUCCCCUGGGCCUGCACUGACGCUCAUGCACGAAAGCGUGGGGAGCAAACAGG